CUGAGCAGAGUGGUUCAAACUUGGGGGGCUUAAAGCUCCUACCAGUUCAAAUGAAGUGCCUUUUGGCACUUCUGCUAUGACAUCCUUGACACUGGUCAUGCCACUGCGUGCAUCUUGCAGGCAAUGUUUGAGAUCUGCUUGAGGAUUGGGAAGCAUACAUAGGCUUUUGUCCUUGGAGGUUCAGGUGGAAAAAAAAAUGCUGAUAUUUACAGAGCAAUGGGACCAGAGCCCAACAAGUAUCUUCUGAAGCUGAAGGAGAAUUAUUCCACUCAUGAAAAAAGCAAGUGAAAUAUAAACACACCAGUACAUGUUAUAUAAAACUGUGGGAAGAAAAGAGCACCUUAGAUCUUCAAGCACCUGGGAACCCAUGGCAGCCUUACUUUGACACAGCUGGCCAAGUGGAGGAUUGAAGUCCCAGUAAUUAGGUGUGAGUUUCUCUGUGCUGGGGAGCCGAGCCAGAAUGAGAAAACUUGGUGAGGUUACUCCUCCCUCCAGGUAAAGGCAAAGCUACUGAAGAAGAGCCAGACUAUCCUCCAAAGGAGUGCACUGCAGCUUCCGUAUCUUGUUGCUGCAAAUAAACUUUUCUUCUGGCAGUGAAUUUUUACAUAGGACUGCAACGUGCAGCCUUUUGCUGUUCUGACUCUUCUGUCAAACAACUUAUUUUGAAACAUUUGUACAUAUAAUGGAAAUCACACGGUGUGGUGGGAAGUGGACUGAAAAAAAAUCCUCCUGCUGAGGAUGGCCUCUGAGGAGCAAUGCUGGGGGAGAGUUAGGGACAAAAAAAACAGGUGACAAAAGGGAAUUGAUUGCAGAAGUUUGUACAAAGAAAAUCCAAAGGCAAUGAAAGAAGAAAGGAAGAAAAGAGGAAAAAGAAGGAAGGGGGUCAUUAGGAGCUCUCACAACACAAAUAAAUCAUGGAAAAACAAUACAUUAUGCUACCCAUGGAAGACAAGAAGCUGAAAUCGAGAUCUGCUGAUGGUGAUGAGCAGGUAUUCUUAACUCAGGACCAAGCUGGCUGCGUUAUUUUAAUUAACCUUUAACAAUGAAUGAAGGUUCAUUCCUGACAGGUUCGAAGAGGCACCCAGACUUUAGCUUGUUUAUUUUAUUUUUUAAUAUAAUCUUCAAUAUUAAUGUGUUGUACGCAUAUAACACUAUGUACGAAUUCUUGUGAUGAAUCCAUUAUUUCUAUUGUUUUUAAUGAUCCAAUAAUGUUUGAUUCAAUCUGAAUUUUGGUCAGGUUUUUAAAAUGACAUCUUUUUAACAUGGGAAAUAAUUUACUCCUAUUUUUUUAUUUUUAGUUAUGAAAAGUAGAAAAAGGUAAAAAGCAAGCUAGCUACUUUAUAAGCUUUCCUUUUGUUAAUGCAUGCAGUUAAAAUUCCUGAAUACUGUCACUCAUGACAUCCACAUCAAGGAUCAGA